rnacentral:misc_RNA from 1 species
GAUGAAGAACGUAGUGAAAUGCGAUAAGUAAUGUGAAUUGCAGAAUUCAGUGAAUCAUCGAAUCUUUGAACGCACAUUGCGCCCGUCAGUAUUCUGGCGGGCAUGCCUGUUCGAGCGUCAUUACGCCCCUCAAGUCCCCUGUGGACUUGGUGUUGGGGAUCGGCGAGGCUGGUUUUCCAGCACAGCCGUCCCUUAAAUUAAUUGGCGGUCUCGCCGUGGCCCUCCUCUGCGCAGUAGUAAAACACUCGCAACAGGAGCCCGGCGCGGUCCACUGCCGUAAAACCCCCAACUUUUUAUAGUUGACCUCGAAUCAGGUAGGACUACCCGCUGAACUUAAGCAUAUCAAUAAGCGGAGGA